AUCCAGUUGACGAAUCCCAAAUAAGACAAAACGCACUUCCUGUAU
rnacentral:hammerhead_ribozyme from 1 species